rnacentral:misc_RNA from 1 species
GCAAACUUGGUCAUUUAGAGGAAGUAAAAGUCGUAACAAGGUCUCCGUUGGUGAACCAGCGGAGGGAUCAUUACCGAGUGUGAAAACUCAUCAACCCUGUGAACAUACCUAAACGUUGCUUCGGCGGGAACAGACGGCCCCGUCACACGGGCCGCCCCCGCCAGAGGACCCCCUAUCUCUGUUGCCAUGUGUUUUUUCUGAGUAAACAAGCAAAUAAAUUAAAACUUUCAACAACGGAUCUCUUGGCUCUGGCAUCGAUGAAGAACGCAGC